GUGGAAUUCGCUCAGUUGUUAGAGCGCUUCCUUUGCAUGCGAGAGGUACCGGGUUCGAUACCUGGAUUCUCCA
rfam:Octopus bimaculoides Scaffold13237_contig_1, whole genome shotgun sequence.